AAAUUGAAGAGUUUGAUCAUGGCUCAGAUUGAACGCUGGCGGCAGGCCUAACACAUGCAAGUCGAACGGUAGCACAGAGAGCUUGCUCUCGGGUGACGAGUGGCGGACGGGUGAGUAAUGUCUGGGAAACUGCCUGAUGGAGGGGGAUAACUACUGGAAACGGUGGCUAAUACCGCAUAACGUCGCAAGACCAAAGAGGGGGACCUUCGGGCCUCUUGCCAUCAGAUGUGCCCAGAUGGGAUUAGCUGGUUGGUGAGGUAACGGCUCACCAAGGCGACGAUCCCUAGCUGGUCUGAGAGGAUGACCAGCCACACUGGAACUGAGACACGGUCCAGACUCCUACGGGAGGCAGCAGUGGGGAAUAUUGCACAAUGGGCGCAAGCCUGAUGCAGCCAUGCCGCGUGUAUGAAGAAGGCCUUCGGGUUGUAAAGUACUUUCAGCGGGGAGGAAGGUGUUGUGGUUAAUAACC
rnacentral:rRNA from 2 species